rnacentral:tRNA from 1 species
GGAGGGUUGGCCGAGAGGAAAGGCAGCCGCGUGCUAAGCGGCCGAUGGGGCGACCCUGCGCGUGUUCGAGUCACGCACCCUCCUCCA